AUCAAAUGAUUUUGAGUAGGUGGAUGGGUGAACUAUGCCAUUGUUGUUUUGUUUUUUGUUUUUUUUUUAGAUCAGGGAAAUUAAAAGUGUUUGUAGACUUGAAACACACACAGACGCUGAAGUCCUAAGAGAAGCUUUACUACUUGUGUACGGUGGUAGGAAUUAAAAAGCUGAAUGCCUCUACUCAACAAUUUUUCACGGGUUUUGAUGUUGUAUGCGCCGGUAAGCGGUUUGGAUAAAGGGUGGGUCGAUGCGCUUGUAAAUAGACGAUGACAGAGGAGAACUAGAAGAAGAAGACUACAGCACACUUCGUUUCGUCGAACAUGGUGAUAAACGGAAGUGUCAGCAUGGUUUUAACUUUUGAAGAUGACUUUUUGUAACUUUCCCUGUGAUGUUCUGUUUAUACACAUGCUGAUCGGGCAUUGUGUGUUUGCUGUCAGCGCAACAGACUGUAGACCGGGAGAAUAUGAAACAAGCGACGGGCUGUGCUGCCCUAUGUGUAAAAAAGGCUCUGUUGUCAGAGGACACUGCACCGACUAGUUAUUCGGGACGUGUACACCCUGU